UUGAGAUUCACCAAGCUUUUCUACCAUGCCACCUCCAUACCAUCAUCACAUUGUGGAGCAACAAGAAGGGGGGAGCCAUGAGAGCCACCCUUCUUGAGCUACUCCUUACUAUAAACCCCAUGAACCACCACCACCAUCAUGUCUUAUGCCCACCACUAUUGAUAAUUACUACUAUACCUACCUUCGCCUUCAAGGAAGUUGCUUCUUUUUCCCCCUCUUUGUCCAAAGAAAGUAAAGGUGAAAAACAAGCUAGAAAAAAAAGAGAAAUACUAGUAGUAGUAGUGAAAAAGAAAAAAAAAGAAGAAAAAAGGGGUAGGGGGGGGC
rnacentral:misc_RNA from 1 species